rnacentral:rRNA from 1 species
GGGCCCGCACAAGCGGUGGAGCAUGUGGUUUAAUUCGAUGCAACGCGAAGAACCUUACCUGGUCUUGACAUACACAGAAUCUUGUAGAGAUACGAGAGUGCCUUCGGGAAUUGUGAUACAGGUGCUGCAUGGCUGUCGUCAGCUCGUGUUGUGAAAUGUUGGGUUAAGUCCCGUAACGAGCGCAACCCUUGUCCUUAGUUGCCAUCAUUUAGUUGGGGACUCUAAGGAGACUGCCGGUGACAAACCGGAGGAAGGCGGGGACGACGUCAAGUCAUCAUGGCCCUUACGAGUAGGGCUACACACGUGCUACAAUGGCAAGUACAGAGGGCCGCGAAGCCGCGAGGUGGAGCUAAUCUCACAAAGCUUGUCGUAGUCCGGAUUGGAGUCUGCAACUCGACUCCAUGAAGUCGGAAUCGCUAGUAAUCG